AUGCCAUGAUGAGCACAUUUCAGUAACAAUUCCUUGAAUCACUCCCAUGCAUCAUAAAGAGAUUCGUAGUCUAGUUGUUGAAAUGUAGCAAUUUCAUUUCUGAGCUU
rfam:Gossypium raimondii Chr10_contig_933, whole genome shotgun sequence.